GGUGAAACAAAUGUUGAUGAAGCAGUGAGGGAUCUUCCUGGCGCCAAUACGCACUAGCAAUGAAUUUUAAUUAUUGGCGUGGAAAAAGUUUCUCUAUGAACAAAAUGAUUAUCAAAAAAGCUGUGGAAACUAGAGUCAAAGAGUUGUCUUGAUUCCUUUGGUUCAACAUGUCAAGCAGCAAGAGAUGCUAGAAUGAUCUUCUUUCCUGGGUUGGGGCAGAGUUGUCGCAACAUUUUUCGGUAAAAAUCGAAACCUCUCCUACGGUAUCUGUUCAAAAACCCUUUGCUGCCUUUGAUUGGGCUGUCGAAGACUCAUGGGAAGUUUGUUCUUGUCGGUGCUCCUAAGAAACCAAUUGAGUUACGAGCCUUUUCAAAGCAGAUGUUAAAUACCGAUUUGUCAAAUACUGAAUUUUCAUCGACAAACCAGUUUCAAGUUUAUAUAGAUUAUGCCACUUGUUAUAUUAAACUUUGAGAAGAUUGUAAUUAAUAAUAAAUAAAUA